UACGUAGGGUGCAAGCGUUGUCCGGAAUUAUUGGGCGUAAAGAGCUCGUAGGCGGUCUGUCGCGUCGGCUGUGAAAACCCGAGGCUCAACCUCGGGCCUGCAGUUGAUACGGGCAAACUAGAGUACUGCAGGGGAGACUGGAAUUCCUGGUGUAGCGGUGAAAUGCGCAGAUAUCAGGAGGAACACCGGUGGCGAAAGCGGCUCACUGGACCAUAACUGACGCUGAGGAGCGAAAGCGUGGGGAGCGAACAGG
rnacentral:rRNA from 1 species